rnacentral:rRNA from 1 species
UACGGGGGGGGCAAGCGUUGUUCGGAAUUACUGGGCGUAAAGGGCUCGUAGGUGGCCCCAUAAGUCAGACGUGAAAUCCCUCGGCUCAACCGAGGAACUGCGUCUGAGACUGCGGGGCUUGAAUCCGGGAGAGGGAUGUGGAAUUCCCGGUGUAGUGGUGAAAUGCGCAGAUAUCGGGAGGAACACCAAUGGCGAAGGCAGCUCGCUGGGACGUGACUGACGCUGAGACGCGAAAGCGUGGGGAGCAAACAGG